UGGAAACUACAUGCUUACAAAGUAGACUUUAUCAGCCGUUUGUUAAAGGAAGGAUCAGUAAAGAGUACUGAUGGACUAUGUCAGAACAUGGAUUGUUCGGUUUCUUCCUCUAUUUCACAAGUGUAAGUAUGUGCGAUUAAAGUUGUUGCCUCGUUUACUCUAGCUUGCAAAUGUAUUUAGUUGUGAUUUGUUACUAGUAACCGCGUGUACUGUAUCAGGUUAACUCGCUAUAUUCUCAUAUCGCAUGUAAAGCCACGUUGAAAACGGGGCGCAUGGUGCUUUGUUUACGGACCUCUGAUGAGAAGACUAAUGUGUGUGUUGUGUCGUCUGAGGAGGAGCGUAAUGUGUGUGUGUGUUUGUAUGUUGCGUCCUCUGAGGAGGAGUGUGUGUGUUUGUGUGUGUUUGUUUUUAUUACAUGGUGGGGACCUCAGCAUGAUAGCACACUCACAAAGUGGGGACCAAAAACAUAGUGGGGACCGAUGGCCCGGUCCCCACUAUGUUUUGCCUUUAAAAGACUCAGGGGGCGUUGCUGAUAUGCCUAGUGCAGUUUUUUUCACUGAUCCCCACCUUGACCAUUUACCUGAAUUGAGUGUGUAAGUGUGUGUCGGCGCACUGCUCUAUAGCGGUCCUGUAGUCGGAUGGCGGUACUGCACCCUGACACACACUUGGCGCUAUUCACACACUCUGCCUACUGCACAUGCGCAAUCUCAUAAAUAAUUCCGACUUUAAUAAACUUAAUUAAGAUCUAUCAUCAAAUUAUUCGAAUUUUUGGGUAAGUUAGAAUGUUUUUCACCAUCAUAAUGUAAUAAAAUAGGUUAUAUGACAAAUACUUAUGUUGCAUAUUUUGACAGUUAUCAGGUAUAGUUAAUUAAAUGUUUUAACGAAUUUCCUGGGUGUUUUAAUCGAGGUUGUUUCAAAUUACGUAUUAAUAUAACACUGAUAAGACACAAACUACAGUUCGGUAUGUAAUUUAACUUGUUUACACGAGUAAAAGUUACUCGCGCUAAUGUGCUAACGUGCUAACUGCCCGGUGCUACGUGAGUCAGAGGCCGGGGUGGAGUGCAUGAGCCGCGGUCAGACAGUCACCAAUCACCGGGCGGCUAAAUGGAUCGACGGAGGAUAAAACCAUUAAAAGAUGCGGAGAAACACAUCACCAGCUCCACUGACAAGACCCAUUCACUGGAAACCGAAUAUAUAGAAGGUUACUAAGUUUUGCAGCAUUGAUGCCGAUCAUGAGGACGAGACCCUCGGCCGGCUGGUGAAUGAUGACCAUCUGCACCCUAACUGCACUGUCAAUAAGAUCGUUGUUCAGAGAAAACCUCAUUUGUGCCAUUUUGCAAUCAGGGAUAUUUUCUUUGGAGAGGAAAUAACAUUUGACUAUGGCGCAUGUGAUUGGCCUUGGAGAAAGCUUUCAUUGAAGGAUGCCCAUAUGACUGCAGAAGAGAACUGCUCCGACAACUCUCUGAUGAGCUUAUAUUGAAGGAUGACCAUAUGACAGGGGAAGAAAACUGCUCUGCUCCAGCUAGUGACUCAUAACUCUGUUAUUGCAUAUCAGAUUUAACGAACCGUUUACUACGGAUUUCAUGUAAUUUUGAUAACUGUCCAUUAAUCAGAUGUCAUCACGCUGCUGUGCCGUCAGCCAAUCGUUGCAUUGCUGAUAAUGAUUUUGAGGAUCGAUAGAUCUGUCACGACACACAGUCACAACACCUCUCAGAUCAGUUUAAUCUGAUUCGCAAACUUUUUUGAAGAACCAAAUUAGCCUAAGAUGAGUUAUCAAGAUUAAAAGAUCCAGGAUCUGUAAUAUAUUCUUAGAUUAUUUUAGCGAGGUCCGAAGAACAGACCCCUGGACCCUUGAGUACUACUGUCUAA